AACAUGGGCUCCUAAACAACUUCCUGACUGAGAGGUAGACAACAUGGGCUCCUAAAACAACUUCCUGACUGUGAGGUAGACAACAUGGGCUCCUAAAACAACUUCCUGACUGAGGUAGACAACAUGGGCUCCUAAAACAACUUCCUGACUGAGGUAGACAACAUGGGCUCCUAAAACAACUUCCUGACUGUGAGGUAGACAACAUGGGCUCCUAAAACAACUUCCUGACUGUGAGGUAGACAACAUGGGCUCCUAAAACAACUUCCUGACUGUGAGGUAGACAACAUGGGCUCCUAAAACAACUUCCUGACUGAGGUAGACAACAUGGGCUCCUAAAACAACUUCCUGACUGUGAGGUAGACAACAUGGGCUCCUAAAACAACUUCCUGACUGUGAGGUAGACAACAUGGGCUCCUAAAACAACUUCCUGACUGUGAGGUAGACAACAUGGGCUCCUAAAACAACUUCCUGACUGUGAGGUAGACAACAUGGGCUCCUAAAACAACUUCCUGACUGUGAGGUAGACAACAUGGGCUCCUAAAACAACUUCCUGACUGUGAGGUAGACAACAUGGGCUCCUAAAACAACUUCCUGACUGU